rnacentral:rRNA from 1 species
CCUACGGGCGGCAGCAGUGGGGAAUAUUGGACAAUGGGCGAAAGCCUGAUCCAGCCAUGCCGCGUGUGUGAAGAAGGCCUUCGGGUUGUAAAGCACUUUCAGUGGGGAAGAAAGCCUUGGGGCUAAUACCCUCGAGGAAGGACAUCACCCACAGAAGAAGCACCGGCUAACUCCGUGCCAGCAGCCGCGGUAAUACGGAGGGUGCGAGCGUUAAUCGGAAUUACUGGGCGUAAAGCGCGCGUAGGCGGUCUGAUAAGCCGGUUGUGAAAGCCCCGGGCUCAACCUGGGAACGGCAUCCGGAACUGUCAGGCUAGAGUGCAGGAGAGGAAGGUAGAAUUCCCGGUGUAGCGGUAAAAUGCGUAGAGAUCGGGAGGAAUACCAGUGGCGAAGGCGGUCUUCUGGACUGACACUGACGCUGAGGUGCGAAAGCGUGGGUAGCAAACAGGAUUAGAUACCCCUGUAGUC